GUCCAGUGUGUGCUCUGUGCUGCCCUGUGUGCUGUCGUCCUGUCCUGUCCUGUGUGUUGUCCUGUGUGUCGUCCUGUGUGUGCGCUGUUUGCUGUGUGCUGUGCCCUCAAGCAGCCGCAAAAGUUCGUUAAGGAUCCCACGCACACGCACACACUAACUCACACACACACACACACACGCACGCACACACGCACGAACGCACGCACAUACGCACACGCACUCCAAAAUUCCGAAGCUGUCAACAAGAAAGCAACUUUUGCAACAACAGUGAAAAUUAUUUACAAAAAAAGAAUAAAACUAAAAAGAAAAGCAAAUCAAAGAACUGUAAAAACGCUACAAAAGUGCAACAACAAGCAAAAAAAACUGUUGAAUAAUUAUGAAACAAGAUACAAAAAGAAUAAAAGGAAUUUAAAUAAAUUAACACGAGCGACGCGAACAGAGUUUUGAUUUGAGAGAUUUUUUAACUGUGCACGCAACAAAACAAAGUUUUCUUUUAUUUUCGUUUAAUUUGAAAAGUAAUUUGCAUAAUUAGUGGGUCGGCAAUAAUUAAUAGCGCGUUUCUCUUUUGUUUUCAAACUAAAAAAACAUAUUAAAUAAUUAUUUAACUCAUUCGCACAACUUUAACAACGGGCAAUUAACAGGGCAACAGAAACAGCGACAAGAACGGAAACGGAAACCAAAUCGUACUGAACUGUAAACUGACCUUCAUGUAGCACAUGUAAUUACCACACACAUGCAAACACACACACACACAUACACACAUACGCAUACACAAAAGUAUAAACAAAUGUUUGUAUAAAGCGGCAGUAAAAAAGACAGUUUAAAAUAUAAUUAAAAUGACAUUUGACUGCAGUUGAACAGCUUUGUUAAUUAUGCGCGAGAAUUCUGAACUGAAAUGCUCAAACAACAACAAACAAAAAUAAAAGCGAACGAAAAGAUAUUUGAAAAAAAUUAAACGAAACGAAAAAAAACAAAAUGGAAAAUUACGAUACAAAAAAACAAAAAAGAAAAUGUAUAGAGGAAAUUCAAUUGAAAAUCAUUUAAUCAUGAAAAUAUGUAAAUUUGAAAAUUAUUGCAAUUCCAUUUGAAGGAAGGCGCCAGCUCACUUUGAGUCAAAUGCGCAACUGACUAGAGAGAGAGAGGGAGCGAGAGAGAGAGAGAGAGAGAGGGAAUUAGAGCGAGUGGGCGACUCCUCGACUGAAGCUGAGAUGCUGCUGCCUGCUAAUUAAAAAAGCAUUGCCCAAGUGGACUCGGCGCGCAACGGCAAUAACGCAACAGGCGAUCGACGUCGCUGUCAGCGUCGACAGCUCUGCCCACUGAUAAGCUGAGCGCACUGGCACAAAAUGGCAAUGGAACGAGCGACGCUCUCUUCGGAAUACUCUCUCUAAGAGAAUGGUAAUUGGAAUGUGUGCAAGCGAGUGUCAUGGAGAGCGAGAGUUGUUUAAUUUAGGCACUUAUCAACAGUCAUAGAAAGAGAGAGAGGGCAUACAAUGUUCGGCGCGUGAAAGUGUAUUGUUCUUUUGCGUUUGCGUUUCACCUCAUUUCGUUUCAGCAGCCCGCGCGUUUCGAAUACUGAAUUCAAUUUCAAUUGAGUUUUUCAACGUUUUGUGUUUUUUUUCGUCCCUCGCUUGAGUUCAGUUGUUAUUCGUCAGCGUUGGCGUGUGCAGGGCGACGGCAGCAGUAGCGGCGGCAACAGCAACAACAGUGGCAGUGGCUGCGUUUGCUCAAGGAUAUUUUGGCGAAUUGUGGAUGUGCUGAUAAACCCUGUACACAUAUAUUAUACAUAAGAGUUGAUAUUCUUAAUCAAGCGAAGUGCCUAAGUUUCCAUAUAUAAAUUCAUAACAUAAACCGAGUUGAAAAUUCGUCGUUCACUUGUGCGUUAUCAUGGGGCGCAUAAUUGCCCUCAAUCGGGUUAAAUGAAAACAACUGGUUGACGUUGCCGCCCCACAAAUCAACAAAAAAAAAAACAACAUACGAAAAACGAAACGAAAAAAAGCAUUCUAGAAA